UCCAAAUUGGUGUAGUGGCUAACAUUUGACAUUCUCAAAGUAAAGAUGUUUUAGGCCCGGGGUUGGAUUCCCUGAUUUGGAG